UUGGCCAAAAAGUUCAUUCGGGGUUUUUCCAUACAGUGUUAUGGAAAAACCCGAACAAAAUUUUUGGCCA
rnacentral:miRNA from 1 species